rnacentral:rRNA from 1 species
GAUGAACGCUAGCGGCGUGCCUAAUACAUGCAAGUCGAGCGAACAGACGAGGAGCUUGCUCCUCUGACGUUAGCGGCGGACGGGUGAGUAACACGUGGAUAACCUACCUAUAAGACUGGGAUAACUUCGGGAAACCGGAGCUAAUACCGGAUAAUAUAUUGAACCGCAUGGUUCAAUAGCGAAAGACGGUUUUGCUGUCACUUAUAGAUGGAUCCGCGCCGCAUUAGCUAGUUGGUAAGGUAACGGCUUACCAAGGCAACGAUGCGUAGCCGACCUGAGAGGGUGAUCGGCCACACUGGAACUGAGACACGGUCCAGACUCCUACGGGAGGCAGCAGUAGGGAAUCUUCCGCAAUGGGCGAAAGCCUGACGGAGCAACGCCGCGUGAGUGAUGAAGGUCUUCGGAUCGUAAAACUCUGUUAUUAGGGAAGAGCAAAUGUGUAAGUAACUAUGCACGUCUUGACGGUACCUAAUCAGAAAGCCACGGCUAACUACGUG